GUGGGGAAUUUUGGACAAUGGGCGCAAGCCUGAUCCAGCAAUGCCGCGUGCAGGAAGAAGGCCUUCGGGUUGUAAAGCACUUUUGGCAGGAAAGAAAUAGUGCGUGCUAAUACCAUGCGCGAAUGACGGUACCUGCAGAAUAUGCACCGGCUAACUACGUGCCAGCAGCCGCGGUAAGACGUAGGGUGCAAGCGUUAAUCGGAAUUACUGGGCGUAAAGCGUGCGCAGGCGGUGUUGUAAGGCAGGUGUGAAAUCCCCGGGCUCAACCUGGGAACUGCACGUGUGACUGCAAGGCUAGAGUGUGUCAGAGGGAGGUGGAAUUCCGCGUGUAGCAGUGAAAUGCGUAGAGAUGCGGAGGAACACCGAUGGCGAAGGCAGCCUCCUGGGAUAACACUGACGCUCAGGCACGAAAGCGUGGGGAGCAAACAGGAUUAGAAACCCUAGUAGUCC
rnacentral:rRNA from 1 species